rnacentral:misc_RNA from 1 species
UCGUCCUCGUUGCGGUUGUCC